rnacentral:rRNA from 1 species
CCUACGGGGGGCAGCAGUGGGGAAUAUUGGGCAAUGGGCGCAAGCCUGACCCAGCAACGCCGCGUGAAGGAAGAAGGCUUUCGGGUUGUAAACUUCUGUUCUGGGGGACGAAGAAAGUGACGGUACCUCAGGAGUAAGCCACGGCUAACUACGUGCCAGCAGCCGCGGUAAUACGUAGGUGGCAAGCGUUAUCCGGAUUGAUUGGGUGUAAAGGGCGUGUAGGCGGGAAAGCAAGUCAGAGGUGAAAACUCAGGGCUCAACCCUGGGGCUGCAUUUGAAACUGUUUUGCUUGAGUGCUGGAGAGGCAAGCGGAAUUCCGUGUGUAGCGGUGAAAUGCGUAGAUAUACGGAGGAACACCAGUGGCGAAGGCGGAUUGCUGGACAGUAACUGACGCUGAGGCGCGAAAGCGUGGGGAGCAAACAGGAUUAGAUACCCCAGUAGUC